GAUGCCGCAAUACAAUGAAUGUCCUGCGAACCUAGUUGUAUGUUAGGACAUUUGGAAGCAAGAUGAAUGGAGUGAUGUGAAAUGGUAAUGGGGAAUGUUGGUAUGAUGGCUGUGAAGAAGGGAAUGUAUGUCUCAUGAAACUGGUGGUGUUGAGCUAUUGCAGUAGCACAUGAAUGGACUGCAGUUAAAGCUCAGAUGGAUUCAGCUGAUAGAUUUGAGGAGAAUGGAUUAGGAUAUUGGUGCUGUGACUGUGAUGCUGCUGCCAUGGCUAGGUUGUCAAGCUGCAGAUGUUGAUGCAAUUAAUGCUUUGAGGAGGAUGUCUGGAAUGGUGGUUGUGUAGUGCAGUUGACAGCAGGGGAUGAGUUUUCUUGUUUUCUUUGGCAGAGGCAAUUGUUACAAACCGGAGGUGGUCUAGGUGGUGGUAAUGGAGGUGGCAUUGCUACCAAGGUCGUAUGCCUGACAGAGGUGGUUACUGCAGAUGAGCUUAAAGAUGAUGAAGAGUAUGAAGAUAUUUUGGAAGAUAUGAGGGUAGAAGGUGGAAAAUUUGGUACAUUGAUGAAUAUUGUCAUCCCCCGUCCACAACCUAACGGUGAACCCUCUCUAGGACUUGGAAAGGUUAGUUUCAGUGUAAGGUAUUGUUAAAUGACACUCUUAGGUUGACUGUUACUUUGUAUUAUAAAAUUUUGACUGUUACUUUGUAUUGCUAAAUGACACUCUUCUCCUGUAGGCUUUCGUUGAGAACUACGACACUUCAUGUCUAAGCCAGUGCCUCUACGGUAUCAUCUACCACUAUGUGAGUGUGCAGCAAAAACGGUGUUAGGUUUACCAAGAAGAGAGUGUGCAGCAAAAACGGAUCAUUUCCAUUUAGCAAUGUAACCCAGACUACCAUACUGGAACGUGUAUGCUACUGUCAUAUUUGUAGGGACGGCCAAUAUCUGUGUUUUACGAUUUAUAUGAUAUUUUUAGUCAUGUUCAAAGAAUCUAUCAUUUUAUUUUCUUUCGUUGCUCAACACACUUUCAUACAAGGUGAUUUGAAGUUAGCUAGGUAAUGCAAUUGGAGUGGUAGGUUAACUUGAAUGAAUGUAAAUGUGCUACACUGGCAUGUUAAUGUGAAUGUGAAAUACUUUCGGCAAUUCAUGCAAUUCGGUUUCAGCUAUAA